UCUGAAACCUCGUUUGAACACAGCACUGCAGAGUAGGAGUCAUCUAGUGUAAACAAGGAAAUUCUUCCACAGACACAUUCGAUAGCCAGUCGUUCUACUCAACCAGACAGUGUUCAAGUAGAAGAAUCUAAGGAUUAAUUAAUUCUUUACUACAUUCGCUACUCUCUUGUGGUGUCAUUGAGUCCUUCUUGAGCUCUCUACAAAUGCUACCUCGCCAGGUACACAUCGUCAACAUAGCACUAGUGUACAGCAUCUCCGUCAAUCUAGGAGCCCUGGGCGAAGUGGCCAGCUUAGGAUGCUUGAAGGUGGCCAACGGAGGAGAUGAGUUUCAGACACUGGCCAAGGACUACAGCGCAGACAAACUGGACGUUCAGGGCUGUGUCUUCAAGUGCUGGACAUUAAGGUUUACUUAUGCUGCGCUUCAGAAAGGAUUCUUAUGUUUCUGUGGGAUGACAGCAAGGGAGACCAUCAAAGUGGCAGACGACGAAUGUGACAGCAGAUGUAAUGGUAACUGUAGACAAGCGUGCGGUGGGGAGCACGCUAUUUCAGUUUACAAGACAGGCUAUAUCCGAGAACCUAUUAUCGCUAUAGACCAGAGAGAUCUCUAUAAAGCCAAGAUUGGUUGCUACGACAAAACGUCUUCUGGAAAAAUCCUCUGCCCGAAAGACUUCGCGCCAAUACGUACAGUCAGGAUGUCCGUGCCUCUAUGUCUCUACUACUGUGAUUCUAUUUACUCAGCCAAAUUUGGGACCCUGUCGGCAGACGAUCGAUGCUGCUGCAGUAACUCCGUGUUUGGCGCCAAGAACACCAUGCUCUCCUGGUGCGACAUUCCUUGCGCUGCAGACGACAGUGUGGGAUGUAUUGGGGCAAAGAACAGAGGGACGCAGUGGGCCACAUUUGAAAUCGCUCGAAUUGCCAACUUUAAAAGAUGGCCAAAGUCCAUGUUCCUGGAAGCUCACUGGAUAGAGCCCCAGUUCCCAGUGAGCGACAAGUUUGAAAUUGAUAAGAAGUCUGACAGAGAUACGGUGUAUGGGUCACUGAGUGGGCUGCUGGCCAAGAAACGCGCCAGGAAACCAGGAGACGAGGAAGGUGAAGACACUGAUAACGCUAACAGCAUAGACAAGGAAGUGCAGUCCUUGGUUGGGGGCGACAAGAGGCAGCCGGCCAUAGGAAGUGUGCAAGACUCGGUGGCCAUUUUAGAAGUGCCAGGUUCCGACUCUAAAGAGACUCCCGAGCCUGGAGUAGAGAGCAGCACUGUCAUUAUCCUUGUGUCCGUUGUACUGGCCUUCCUAGUGUUCACCAUGGCAUUCACGUGCUACGUAUACAAUAUCAAGAAAAAUGAGAAUAUGGCCGAAGAAUUCUAGAUGAAAGUUUAGAGACCUACAGUAAAAGGACGCACUAUUUUGUUGUGAGGAAGUUCAUUGAACAGCAGCGGCUAGCAAAUUCAUGGCAACUGGGGAACACCUGGACAUGGAUCUCAAAAAUGGCUCUAAUGAUUUCCCUAGGAAUUUGACAAAUUAAUGUAUAUCUUUGAGAAAAGAAUUAUUAGCUAAUUGCCCACACUGGGAAAAUUCUUGUUUGACUGUAGUCAUAUAACUUUUUCAAACAUUAUCCUGUAAAAUUAAGUUUGGUCUAGAAAAUCUUUAUCUUGAGCAGACACAUCAAGAGGUAUUUCCACAUUUAGGCCCUAUCCAUUCAAGAGUUUAAAAUAAAUAAAGAGAUGUUCAGGAACAUUUUGGGCACCAUCUUGCAUCUAUUGGGCCUAUCAUUAGAAAUGUAUACACUCUGAGCAUUAUACAUCAGUAGGACAAAGAUUGUUUUGUAAGGUGAGAGAGGAAAUGAAGGGGGGGUUAAAAAUGUUUUGUUUUUUUUAUCUAUCAUUCUUUAGUUGUUAAAAGUAAAAUAAUUGCUGUUAAGAAAAGUCAUCAGAUUCUUAAAAGAGGAAUUACUUUUAAAAAAAAAAAUGCAUGUUGUUAAAAUACAAGCUGUCUGAUGCUUUAUCCUCAUACACUGCUUACACUUAUAUAAAUUUGAGUUAGUUCCCAGGAGCUUUGGUGUUUGAGAGAUGGAAGUAGCGGAAACCCAUGGUCCCAUUGAUGUCAAAUGCUUUUAUAAGUAUAUAAGUUUUUUUUAAAAAAUGGUGUUAUAAAGUUAAGGGAAGGCUGUCUUAUUUUUUGUACAGCGAAAUCUUCUGCUAAAUAUUUUAUGCUCAACAUUUUCAAUUUGCAUGAAUUAUGCAAGCAAAUCUGUCAGACUACAGAGCUAGAAGUAAGAACCAAGACUCACCAUUAGUUAAACUAGAUAAAAUUUAAAACUAAAACAUACCGUGUAGUUUAAUGUGUAUGGUUGUGAUGUCCACAGCUUGGUUUUGAUUACUUUUUGCUAUACACUUGUACAUUCCAGAGUGUUCCACGUUGGCUGAUUCAAUGGUCAGCACCCCACCUCUAACUGUUGUAUCAUUAGUAUCUACAACAUCCUUGUCUUCUUUGACCCAUUGCACUGAUGAAGUGGGGUAACCAGAUGCAGAACAUGACAGCUGGAUUCUCUCCCCUUCCAUAUAGAUACCUUUGUGGCUGGCAAUGCGAACAGAAAUAGUCUCUGAAAAAAAACAACACCAGGUUUUGACCAAAUAUUAUUCAGUUGAUUUUUUUAUAUUUCAAUUUGUAUCUAUACAUUUUUAUAUUAUAUUGUAAAUAUGUUGUUAUUUUUAAAUAGAUGUUUUUUUAGAACCUUGUUGUACAUUUGUAUAUAUCGCAUUAAAUAUUUGAUAUCUAAAACAAUUUCUUUUCUUCCUAAUGUUAGACAUCAUUCCAGUGUUUCCCAAACUUUUUCCUUAACAGAACAUUUCACACAUUCCAAGUAUUUAGAACAACACUCUGAUUAUUUUUUCAGAGAUAUAAAUUCACGUGGUGGCCUGCUAGUUAAUUAUUCCAGCAGUUCAUGGAGCACUUAUUCAGACCUCGCAAAACACAGUUUGGGAAACACUGCACUAUUUCAUAUCAAAAUUAAAAGAACAAACUCUGAAUAAUAAAUUUUAUAUAAUUUUUUUAA